GGAUGAAGGGAGCUUGCUCCUGGAUUCAGCGAGCGGACGGGUGAGUAAUGCCUAGGAAUCUGCCUGGUAGUGGGGGACAACGUUUCGAAAGGAACGCUGAUACCGGAUACGGCCUACGGGAGAAAGCAGGGGACCUUCGGGCCUUGCGCUAUCAUGAUGAGCCUAGGUCGAGAUUAGCUAGUUGAGUGAGGUAAUGGCUCACCAAGGUCGACGAUCCGUAACUGGUCUGAGAGGAUGAUCAGUCACACUAGGAACUGAGACACGGUCCAGACUCCUACGGGAGGCAGCAGUGGGGAAUAUUGGACAAUGAGCGAAAGCCUGAUCCAGCCAUGCCGCGUGUGUGAAGAAGGUCUUCGGAUUGUAAAGCACUUUAAGUUGGGAGGAAGGGUUGUAGAUUAAUACUCUGCAAUUUUGACGUUACCGACAGAGUAUGCACCGGCUAACUCUGUGCCAGCAGACUCGGUUUACAAAGGGUGCAUGCGUUUUCGGAAUUACUGGGUGAAAGCACGCGUAGGUGGUUUGUUAGUUGGAUGUGAAAUCCCCGGGCUUACCUGGGAACUGCAUCCGAACUGGCAGUUAGAGUUGGUAGAGGGUGGUGGAAUUUCUGUGUAUGGUGAAUGCCUCCAUUAGGAAGGAACACCAUUGGCGACGCUACCCCUGACUGAUCUGCACUGAGUGCAAACCUGGGGACAUCAGGAUUUAUACCUGGUAGCCACCCGUAACAUGUAACUAUCGUUGGACCUUGACUCUUAUGCAGCACUAACGCAUAAUUGACGCCGGCGAUACGCCGCAGGUAAACUCAAUGAUUGUGGGG
rnacentral:rRNA from 1 species